rnacentral:rRNA from 1 species
ACAGGGAUUGCCCUAGUAACGGCGAGUGAAGCGGCAACAGCUCAAAUUUGAAAUCUGGCUCUUUCAGAGUCCGAGUUGUAAUUUGCAGAGGGCGCUUUGGCUUUGGCAGCGGUCCAAGUUCCUUGGAACAGGACGUCACAGAGGGUGAGAAUCCCGUACGUGGUCGCUAGCUAUUGCCGUGUAAAGCCCCUUCGACGAGUCGAGUUGUUUGGGAAUGCAGCUCUAAAUGGGAGGUAAAUUUCUUCUAAAGCUAAAUAUUGGCCAGAGACCGAUAGCGCACAAGUAGAGUGAUCGAAAGAUGAAAAGCACUUUGGAAAGAGAGUCAAACAGCACGUGAAAUUGUUGAAAGGGAAGCGCUUGCAGCCAGACUUGCUUGCAGUUGCUCAUCCGGGCUUUUGCCCGGUGCACUCUUCUGCAGGCAGGCCAGCAUCAGUUUGGGCGGUGGGAUAAAGGUCUCUGACACGUUCCUUCCUUCGGGUUGGCCAUAUAGGGGAGACGUCAUACCACCAGCCUGGACUGAGGUCCGCGCAUCUGCUAGGAUGCUGGCGUAAUGGCUGUAAGCGGCCCGUCUUGAAACACGGACCAAGGAGUCUAACAUCUAUGCGAGUGUUUGGGUGUCAAGCCCGAGCGCGUAAUGAAAGUGAACGGAGGUGGGAACCCGCAAGGGCGCACCAUCGACCGAUCCUGAAGUUUACGGAAGGAUUUGAGUAAGAGCAUGGCUGUUGGGACCCGAAAGAUGGUGAACUAUGCUUGAAUAGGGUGAAGCCAGAGGAAACUCUGGUGGAGGCUCGCAGCGGUUCUGACGUGCAAAUCGAUCGUCAAAUUUGGGCAUAGGGGCGAAAGACUAAUCGAACUAUCUAGUAGCUGGGUUCCUGC